GAUGAACGCUGGCGGCGUGCCUAAUACAUGCAAGUCGAGCGAACAGACGAGGAGCUUGCUCCUCUGACGUUAGCGGCGGACGGGUGAGUAACACGUGGAUAACCUACCUAUAAGACUGGGAUAACUUCGGGAAACCGGAGCUAAUACCGGAUAAUAUAUUGAACCGCAUGGUUCAAUAGUGAAAGACGGUUUUGCUGUCACUUAUAGAUGGAUCCGCGCCGCAUUAGCUAGUUGGUAAGGUAACGGCUUACCAAGGCAACGAUGCGUAGCCGACCUGAGAGGGUGUUGGGCCACACUGGAGCUGAGACACGGUCCAGACUCCUACGGGAGGCAGCAGUAGGGAAUCUUCCGCAAUGGGCGAAAGCCUGACGGAGCAACGCCGCGUGAGUGAUGAAGGUCUUCGGAUCGUAAAACUCUGUUAUUAGGGAAGAACAAAUGUGUAAGUAACUAUGCACGUCUUGACGGUACCUAAUCAGAAAGCCACGGCUAACUACGUG
rnacentral:rRNA from 1 species